GUGGGGAAUCUUCCGCAAUGGGCGCAAGCCUGACGGAGCAACGCCGCGUGAGUGAGGAAGUUUUUCGGAACGUAAAGCUCUGUUGUUCCUGACGAACGUGCCACCUAUCAACAACGGGUGGCAAUGACGGUAGGGAACGAGGAAGCCACGGCUAACUACGUGCCAGCAGCCGCGGUAAUACGUAGGUGGCAAGCGUUGUCCGGAAUUAUUGGGCGUAAAGCGCAUGUAGGCGGUGGAUUAAGUCUGUCGUGAAACUGCGGGGCUCAGCCCCGUAUGGCGAUGGAAACUGGUCCACUUGAGUGCAGGAGAGGAAAGGGGAACUCCCAGUGUAGCGGUGAAAUGCGUAGAUAUUGGGAAGAACACCGGUGGCGAAGGCGCCUUUCUGGACUGUGUCUGACGCUGAGAUGCGAAAGCCAGGGUAGCGAACGGG
rnacentral:rRNA from 1 species